UACAGAGGGUGCAAACGUUGUUCGGAAUUACUGGGCGUAAAGCGCGUGUAGGCGGCUUCGCAAGUCGGGUGUGAAAUCCCACGGCUCAACCGUGGAAGUGCAUUCGAAACUGCGAGGCUAGAGUCCUGGAGAGGAAGGUGGAAUGCUUGGUGUAGAGGUGAAAUUCGUAGAUAUCAAGCGGAACACCGGUGGCGAAGGCGGCCUUCUGGACAGUGACGUGACGCUGAGACGCGAAAGCGUGGG
rnacentral:rRNA from 1 species